rnacentral:rRNA from 1 species
CCUACGGGGGGCUGCAGUGGGGAAUUUUGCGCAAUGGGCGAAAGCCUGACGCAGCGACGCCGCGUGGGUGAUGAAGGCCCUCGGGUUGUAAAGCCCUGUGGGGAGGGAAGAAUAAGGGUAUGUAAAUAGCGUAUCUGAUGACGGUACCUCCUUAGCAAGCACCGGCUAACUCUGUGCCAGCAGCCGCGGUAAGACAGAGGGUGCAAACGUUGUUCGGAAUUACGGGGCGUAAGCCGUGUGUGGGCGAUGUGAAAGCCCGUGGCUCAACUGAGGAAGAGCAUUCGAAACUGCGCAGCUUGAGUUCUGGAGAGGAUGGUGGAAUUCUCGGUGUAGAGGUAAAAUUCGUAGAUAUCGAGAGGAACACCAGUGGCGAAGGCGGCCAUCUGGACAGAAACUGACGCUGAGACGCGAAAGCGUGGGUAGCAAACAGGAUUAGAUACCCUUGUAGUC